UCAUACGCCUCACUCUUUACACACACGGUCACUUGCCCCGCGCACUCCCGAGCCCUUUCCAGCCCUGACACACAGCUGGGAUUCUCACUUCCGAUCCGCGGUCCUGAACCCGCUCCCAGGGCACGGGAACUCCUUCGUGGCGAAGCAGCAAGUGGCGAAGCAGCAGCCUCUGCGCUGCCUCAUCUACAUAGAAGUCGCCCUGUCCGUGAUGUCACCGACAGUGCCUUGCCCAGUCCCCGUCUGCCUUUCUGCCACUCAACCGACCAAUCUGCUGCCAGAGCCGCCAAGGGGAAGUGACGUCUGCCUCUCCCUUUUUCCCUCCCGCCCCUGCGUCUGUUCUCUCCCAAAGAAGCUGGUCCUUAGCCUGUGUUAAGGAGCAACCUUUCGGUGGCCAGAUGGAGCCGGGGCAUCCUUCUUCAAAUAAUGGCUUUUAAUUCGCAGACUAGAAUGUUUCGGAUUACAAAAGAAACCGGUUCUCUUCACAUCCUUAUCCUUGUGAUGCAGCAUUCCGCUUGCAAUUGGAAGCCGUUUAAUAUCAGAGAGAAACCAUAUUUAUGAAAGUAAAGAGGCUGCUUAGAUGACUGCAAACCAGCCGUCCUUACUGGUUUUAUCACUGGUAAUGUUAUAAAGACAGUUGUCCAGUUUCAUGAAUCUUGUAGGUUUUUUUUUUUUUGAUGUUGUUUUUUUUUUCAAAAAUCCGUAUUGUAGAAAAAUAUGCUGUCCCAGAAGAGAUGAUUGGACACUCUCAAGCGUGGUGCUGGACUUUGUCAUCUCUUGCACAGCCAUCUCCACACCUUAGUGCUUACCUCAUGUUAGUUUUUUAUAUUCUGCAAAGACGAAACCAAAAUAAUCCAAAUUUGACACAAAUACCUGGGCUACAUCUUAUUUGAGAUGUUUAACAAAUGUCUGGAUCAUCUUUUCUUAUAUAUUACGCAGGAAACACUGUGAAGUAAGCAAAGUUGGAAUGCCCAAGUGAAAGACCAUUUGAAUAUUUACAAGUAGAUUUCAGACAGGAAUACUACAGGGUGGUCACAGGAUAACAAAUUCUAGGCAGCAGAUUUACAUGACUUGAGGCUGUGGGCUGUUAAGACGCUGAAAAACCAGGGUGUGGACCAAGCUGGCUAAGGCUGAGUGGACCCAACGUGGUGCUGGAUUGGAUGGAGGUUUUACCUAGGCCCUCAUUAUAUGCUCAUUAACAUACUAAAUCACACACCCGCCAGUGCCAUGACAGUUCUGAGACCAGUGUUUGAUGUAAAAAUGGCACCACAGUUCCAAGAAAUCUCCACCUUUACCCAGGAAUUUUCGUGAAUAUUCCAAUUCUUGGUUAAAGAAACCCAUCAAGAUGAAACCCCAGAACCCAUUAUUCUCUCUUGGGUAUGCCCAAGCUCCCCUUUCUUGAGUGUGUACUUUUUGCUUUGCAAUAAAUCUCUUCUUUCACUAUCUGCUGACUCAUCUUUGACUUUGUUCUCACGAUGGUGUCAAGAGCCUGGACACCACGGCUGGGGUCGAGAUCCCACCAGUGUCCAGGGACCUCCCCCAGCCCACCAGUAUCAGAUUCUAUUCCAUUGCUCAAAUCACAAAACAUCGAGUGGAGAGUUCUCCUUGGAGAUCAUAAAGUAAAGAUUCUGUGGCAUGGUGGCCAGUUAGGCCACUGGAAGCAUGGCAAAAUAUUGAAAAUGAGGGAUUAGGUGACAGUGUAGUAACUGCUGAAUACUAAAUACUUGAUCCAGGCCCCAUUCCCUGGAGAUUGACAGGGAGACACAUUGUCCAGGUAGUAGUGGAGAAAUGUUUUCUGGGUAUCUGACCAGCCUUUGUGGAAAGAACUGGCACCAUCCUGCAGAUGUAACCGCCUGAUGGGUUCUUCCUGACCAAUGUACACAAAAACUCAAUUCAUGGAGACCAUGGCACUGCAGGAAACGGUUUCAUUGACACAGGCCAGCCACGACAUGUGGGAGACAGAGUUAUUACUCAAAGCAAUCUCACUGAAGGCUUGGAGGUAACAACUAAUGUUGGAAUUAUGAAAAGCUCUUCUCUACUUUUAACAAAGCUUAGUCACAAACAGUUCCCCAGUUGAUGAGAAAAACUAAAACAACAGAACAAUUGAAAGUCCGAAUCUGCAAGUUCAUCUCUGAGAACCGAAUUUUACAGCCACUCCAGAUUUGUACUCCAAAUGGAUAGUUUGAUUGUAGAAAUCACUUCCCUUCAGUCUGCCAAUGUGAUAACUGCCCAAGAGAAAGUGAUGCCUACAUUCGUAGAUAAUCCCCUUUCCCCCAUCCUAUAUAUAACUGGAGUCAACAGUAGCUGGAGGAAAAUGGCAAGAACUUGGAAUCAAGAUUAGGUUAGAAUAACACUGCUGUAGACAGUUUAUCAGCUCUUCAGCAUAUGUCCAUUUUCCUUGAAGGAUGAGCCUUUAGAAACCUCUGACAAUAAAGUUUAUUUUACAUCCA